AACGAACGCUGGCGGCAUGCCUAACACAUGCAAGUCGAACGAGACCUUCGGGGCUAGUGGCGCACGGGUGCGUAACGCGUGGGAACCUGCCCUUAGGUUCGGAAUAACUCCCCGAAAGGGGUGCUAAUACCGGAUAAUGUCUUCGGACCAAAGAUUUAUCGCCUUUGGCUGGGCCCGCGUUGGAUUAGCUAGUUGGUAGGGUAAAAGCCUACCAAGGCGACGAUCCAUAGCUGGUCUGAGAGGAGGAUCAGCCACACUGGGACUGAGACACGGCCCAGACUCCUACGGGAGGCAGCAGUGGGGAAUAUUGGACAAUGGGCGAAAGCCUGAUCCAGCAAUGCCGCGUGAGUGAUGAAGGCCUUAGGGUUGUAAAGCUCUUUUACCCGGGAUGAUAAUGACAGUACCGGGAGAAUAAGCUCCGGCUAACUCCGUG
rnacentral:rRNA from 1 species